rnacentral:rRNA from 1 species
GUCCACACCUUAAACGAUGAAUACUUGGUGUCGGGUCGAAAGGCUCGGUGCCAAAGCUAACGCAUUAAGUAUUCCACCUGGGGAGUACGAUCGCAAGGUUGAAACUCAAAGGAAUUGACGGGGGCCCGCACAAGCAGUGGAGCAUGUGGUUCAAUUCGAUGCAACGCGAAGAACCUUACCUGGGUUUGAAAGGCAAGAUUCUAGUCCCUGAAAGGGGAUUACCCGCAAGGGGUCUUGUACAGGUGCUGCAUGGCUGUCGU